GGGUUGUGAGGUUAAGCGACUAAGCGUACACGGUGGAUGCCCUGGCAGUCAGAGGCGAUGAAGGACGUGCUAAUCUGCGAUAAGCGUCGGUAAGGUGAUAUGAACCGUUAUAACCGGCGAUUUCCGAAUGGGGAAACCCAGUGUGAUUCGUCACACUAUCAUUAACUGAAUCCAUAGGUUAAUGAGGCGAACCGGGGGAACUGAAACAUCUAAGUACCCCGAGGAAAAGAAAUCAACCGAGAUUCCCCCAGUAGCGGCGAGCGAACGGGGAGCAGCCCAGAGCCUGAAUCAGUGUGUGUGUUAGUGGAAGCGUCUGGAAAGGCGCGCGAUACAGGGUGACAGCCCCGUACACAAAAAUGCACAUGCUGUGAGCUCGAUGAGUAGGGCGGGACACGUGGUAUCCUGUCUGAAUAUGGGGGGACCAUCCUCCAAGGCUAAAUACUCCUGACUGACCGAUAGUGAACCAGUACCGUGAGGGAAAGGCGAAAAGAACCCCGGCGAGGGGAGUGAAAAAGAACCUGAAACCGUGUACGUACAAGCAGUGGGAGCACGCUUAGGCGUGUGACUGCGUACCUUUUGUAUAAUGGGUCAGCGACUUAUAUUCUGUAGCAAGGUUAACCGAAUAGGGGAGCCGAAGGGAAACCGAGUCUUAACUGGGCGUUAAGUUGCAGGGUAUAGACCCGAAACCCGGUGAUCUAGCCAUGGGCAGGUUGAAGGUUGGGUAACACUAACUGGAGGACCGAACCGACUAAUGUUGAAAAAUUAGCGGAUGACUUGUGGCUGGGGGUGAAAGGCCAAUCAAACCGGGAGAUAGCUGGUUCUCCCCGAAAGCUAUUUAGGUAGCGCCUCGUGAAUUCAUCUCCGGGGGUAGAGCACUGUUUCGGCAAGGGGGUCAUCCCGACUUACCAACCCGAUGCAAACUGCGAAUACCGGAGAAUGUUAUCACGGGAGACACACGGCGGGUGCUAACGUCCGUCGUGAAGAGGGAAACAACCCAGACCGCCAGCUAAGGUCCCAAAGUCAUGGUUAAGUGGGAAACGAUGUGGGAAGGCCCAGACAGCCAGGAUGUUGGCUUAGAAGCAGCCAUCAUUUAAAGAAAGCGUAAUAGCUCACUGGUCGAGUCGGCCUGCGCGGAAGAUGUAACGGGGCUAAACCAUGCACCGAAGCUGCGGCAGCGACGCUUAUGCGUUGUUGGGUAGGGGAGCGUUCUGUAAGCCUGUGAAGGUGUACUGUGAGGUAUGCUGGAGGUAUCAGAAGUGCGAAUGCUGACAUAAGUAACGAUAAAGCGGGUGAAAAGCCCGCUCGCCGGAAGACCAAGGGUUCCUGUCCAACGUUAAUCGGGGCAGGGUGAGUCGACCCCUAAGGCGAGGCCGAAAGGCGUAGUCGAUGGGAAACAGGUUAAUAUUCCUGUACUUGGUGUUACUGCGAAGGGGGGACGGAGAAGGCUAUGUUGGCCGGGCGACGGUUGUCCCGGUUUAAGCGUGUAGGCUGGUUUUCCAGGCAAAUCCGGAAAAUCAAGGCUGAGGCGUGAUGACGAGGCACUACGGUGCUGAAGCAACAAAUGCCCUGCUUCCAGGAAAAGCCUCUAAGCAUCAGGUAACAUCAAAUCGUACCCCAAACCGACACAGGUGGUCAGGUAGAGAAUACCAAGGCGCUUGAGAGAACUCGGGUGAAGGAACUAGGCAAAAUGGUGCCGUAACUUCGGGAGAAGGCACGCUGAUAUGUAGGUGAAGUCCCUCGCGGAUGGAGCUGAAAUCAGUCGAAGAUACCAGCUGGCUGCAACUGUUUAUUAAAAACACAGCACUGUGCAAACACGAAAGUGGACGUAUACGGUGUGACGCCUGCCCGGUGCCGGAAGGUUAAUUGAUGGGGUUAGCGCAAGCGAAGCUCUUGAUCGAAGCCCCGGUAAACGGCGGCCGUAACUAUAACGGUCCUAAGGUAGCGAAAUUCCUUGUCGGGUAAGUUCCGACCUGCACGAAUGGCGUAAUGAUGGCCAGGCUGUCUCCACCCGAGACUCAGUGAAAUUGAACUCGCUGUGAAGAUGCAGUGUACCCGCGGCAAGACGGAAAGACCCCGUGAACCUUUACUAUAGCUUGACACUGAACAUUGAGCCUUGAUGUGUAGGAUAGGUGGGAGGCUUUGAAGUGUGGACGCCAGUCUGCAUGGAGCCGACCUUGAAAUACCACCCUUUAAUGUUUGAUGUUCUAACGUGGACCCGUAAUCCGGGUUGCGGACAGUGUCUGGUGGGUAGUUUGACUGGGGCGGUCUCCUCCUAAAGAGUAACGGAGGAGCACGAAGGUUGGCUAAUCCUGGUCGGACAUCAGGAGGUUAGUGCAAUGGCAUAAGCCAGCUUGACUGCGAGCGUGACGGCGCGAGCAGGUGCGAAAGCAGGUCAUAGUGAUCCGGUGGUUCUGAAUGGAAGGGCCAUCGCUCAACGGAUAAAAGGUACUCCGGGGAUAACAGGCUGAUACCGCCCAAGAGUUCAUAUCGACGGCGGUGUUUGGCACCUCGAUGUCGGCUCAUCACAUCCUGGGGCUGAAGUAGGUCCCAAGGGUAUGGCUGUUCGCCAUUUAAAGUGGUACGCGAGCUGGGUUUAGAACGUCGUGAGACAGUUCGGUCCCUAUCUGCCGUGGGCGCUGGAGAAUUGAGGGGGGCUGCUCCUAGUACGAGAGGACCGGAGUGGACGCAUCACUGGUGUUCGGGUUGUCAUGCCAAUGGCACUGCCCGGUAGCUAAAUGCGGAAGAGAUAAGUGCUGAAAGCAUCUAAGCACGAAACUUGCCCCGAGAUGAGUUCUCCCUGACUCCUUGAGAGUCCUGAAGGAACGUUGAAGACGACGACGUUGAUAGGCCGGGUGUGUAAGCGCAGCGAUGCGUUGAGCUAACCGGUACUAAUGAACCGUGAGGCUUAACCUUACAACGCCGAAG
rnacentral:rRNA from 1 species